rnacentral:piRNA from 1 species
UGACCUUGCUGACAAUAGGACCUGGUGGU